GCUCUCGCUUACCACUCUCCUCCCCCUUUCUAUCUUAUAUCCUCUCCAAUCCCAUAAAUAUACCCUGCCCUACGAGGCAUCAUCUUUAAUCCCCUUGAUGCCUCCUGGCUGCUUGCGUCCCUGCUCCGGUGUCCACAAUCACACUCUCCAUCCUGAGAUCCCUGUACCUGAGUAAGAGUUUUGUGCCCUGCUUGCUGACCUCGAACCAUAACCCAAAUCAGUUUCCAGCUGUCUCAUCCCUAACACCAGAAAUAGGACCUGAAGAUCUCCCUGAACCUCAAUUCCUCAAAGGACCAGAAAGCUUGGCCUCCGGCGCCUUGGCUCUGCCAGCAUCCAUGCACUAGAGAUCGUAACCAAUGCUUUGGAGGAUGACAACAUUUGUUACAGGUCACUGUACAGCUCCUGCAUAUGCAAGGUGUGCAUGGUUCUUCUCAAUAUGGCUCCAAUGUUACUUGUGUGCAUUGUCGUUAUAAGUUCAUUACUGUUUCAUUCACAUAUAUAAGGGUGAAACUUCACUCAAAGUGGUACCUUUUGUACUUAUUUCUGUCACUGCUAGCAACUCUGAGUAAUGAUCUGGAGCCCCAAUACAAACUGCAACAGUGAUGAGAUCACCUGUGUUGGGAGGGUGGGGUGACCUCAUUUUGA